GUAAUGCUUUGUAACUUCCAAGGCUAGGUUAUAAAAAAUCCUGUUCAACCUUGCUCUUUCAGGACACUUGCUCUGUAACCCCUGAUAACUUGAUGUGAAGAGGCCAAGAAGUAGCCUAUGGAGAUGCCCACAAAACUCAAGUAGAAAGAAACUGAGGGCCCUGGACCUCAGCUUUCACUGAGCUCCAGUUGACAUCAUCAAAUAACCAGCCAUGAGGGAAAUGUAAUUGUCUUCCUAUCUCCAGAAAAGAAACAGGCAAGAAACAGAUAACCCAGCAACCCCUCGCUCUGGGGCUUCCUACUCCAGUCCUACAGCCUUUAAGACUCAUCUUGUGUGAAGUGAAGGUGACUGAACCAAGAUUAGAAGUCCUGAAGGACAGAUCCAAGAUGGCCGAUUAGGAGCAGCUCAAGAUUGCAGCUCCCAGCAAAAGCAUGGAGAAUGAGUGGAUGCAGCAUUUCUAAACAGAUUUUUAUUGCCCACAGACCAG
rnacentral:lncRNA from 13 species